rnacentral:rRNA from 1 species
GUGAGGAACGCGUGAGUAACCUGCCCUUAAGUUGGGAAUAGCUCCUGGAAACGGGAAUUAAUACCGAAUGUGAUCGCCGGAAGACAUCUUCUGGUGAUUAAAGGCCGCAAGGUCGCUUAAGGAGGGGCUCGCGUCCCAUUAGCUAGUUGGUGAGGUAACGGCCCACCAAGGCGAAGAUGGGUAGCUGGUCUGAGAGGACGAUCAGCCACACUGGGACUGAGAUACUGCCCAGACUCCUACGGGAGGCUGCAGUCGAGAAUUUUGGGCAAUGGGGGCAACCCUGACCCAGCAAUGCCGCGUGCGGGAUGAAGGUCUUCGGAUUGUAAACCGCUGUCAAGAGGGACGAAUACAAUUGACGGUACCUCUGGAGGAAGUCACGGCUAACUACGUGCCAGCAGCCGCGGUAAUACGUAGGUGACAAGCGUUGUUCGGAUUCAUUGGGCGUAAAGGGUCCGCAGGUGGUUUGAUAAGUCUGACGUGAAAUACCGGAGCUCAACUCCGGAACUGCGUUGGAGACUGUUGAACUGGAGUAUCGGAGAGGAAAUUGGAAUUCCAGGUGUAGCGGUGGAAUGCGUAGAUAUCUGGAAGAACAUCGACAGCGAAGGCAGAUUUCUGGACGAUAACUGACACUCAGGGACGAAAGCAUGGGGAGCAAACAGGAUUAGAUACCCUGGUAGUCCAUGCCCUAAACGUUGUAAACUUGAUAUGGGGAGAUUUACUCCUUUCCGUGUCGAAGCUAACGCGAUAAGUUUACCGCCUGGGAAUUACGGCCGCAAGGCUACAACUCAAAGGA